rfam:Spiroplasma culicicola AES-1, complete genome.
AAUAUAACUUUACAACUAAAUAGCCUUGAAAAUAUAGAUGUACGGGAAAAGAGUGAAAGUCUCUUGCUGUCCCAGCAACUGUAAUGCUGAUGAAAACUACAAGUAACCAUUGAAACAAUUUGUUUUGAGAAGGGUAGUUAGUAAAAUGAAGCUAAGCCAGAAGACCGGUCUGCUAUUUUCACAAUUA